rnacentral:lncRNA from 1 species
GAAUUAUAUACUGUAAAUUCAGAUAUUAUUGGGUGCAUUUAUUAUGGCGAAUUUUGAAAAAUGGACAACAUGUGGUUUUAAUCAUUGCAAUUUUUGAAGAAUAGAAAACAUGUGGGAUUGAUUAUUGCAAUUUCAGAUAUAUGCAUUUGAUAUCAGAAUGAGAGUUGCUAUCAUUGCGGUACCCACCCAGUUUCAAUCAUUUCAGUGAAUAGUUCAGUGACAAAACAAUAAAUACUAUAAAAAAGAAGAUGUGGUAUGAUUGCCAAUGAGACAACUAUCCACAAAAGAUUAAAAUGACACAGACAUUAACAACUAUAGGUCACCGUACGGCCUUCAACAAUGAGCAAAGCUCAUACCGCAUAGUCAGCUAUAAAAGGCCCCG